rnacentral:lncRNA from 1 species
UUAAACUAUCAGCUUGUUACUUUAAAGGUAACGAGGCCAGAAACUAUCGGGGUACGUUGGAACUAUCUUCUUGCUUAUUGGUCAUUUUGUUAUGCUAUCGCUUUGCUUCACAUUUCGGAUCUUCGAGGUACCGUCUCCUGCGCUGAAUUCCGGCUUCCGACCUGACGCCUGGGCGACGAGACCGAGGGAAGGCAGAUUCUCCUGAGCUCUGGCUGAGUCAACACUACCUAGACUCGCCUCUGCUUCUAGAAGUAUUCUUCUGUGAAGCUCUGCUCACCGCUCGCUUUGGGGGACCUGAGCCUGUCUCUUGGCAGCCGUGUCUAGCCAGCCUGAGUCCAGACCAGCCUUUGGAUGAACCACCAUACCACUCGGGCUUGCUGGUGGUUCUGCAUCCACCUCCUGUUUCAAUCCUGGUCAUCGCUGGAUACCGCUCUGCCUACUCGCCACUCCUACACCCUGCUCCAUUCCUCGUCCUCUUUGGGGUCCUGUACCCGUGUGCUGCCCGGGACGGCCGUGUGUGAAGUGGAUGGGCGUGGUACCAGCGCUAGAGCAACUACCUCUCUAAGCUCUGGUGUUGAAGGCCACAUCCCUGGUUUUUAGUGGAAGAAGAGAAGGCAGUGUUCAUUUCCAUCUUUGAGUUACCUGCCUCGAGUUUUCACAAGUGGAGACCUCGCCAGGAUUGUGCCUUCUUGACCCUCUGGAGUAUGUGGAGUGCUAACGGUCAUCGUUGGGGGACAGGUAGUAUUACCCUCCCUGGCUCAUUAUCCAAGGCUCGGAAGUGAGUAUUUUGACUGUUCGUUUGUGAGGGCUUGUUUCUAAUCAAUUGCGUCUUUAAAGACUCUGGUUAAAGUCCUUUUAUGUUGUCAGGUGCGGAGUUUUUUAUUGCUUCCUUGGGCGUCCUUCAUUCACGGAUUAUUUUGUUUCCUUUGUUUUCUUGGUGUUGUGUUCUCAUGUCUUCUAUCAAGGAGCUAGUUGAAUUGGGAAGAAGAGAUGGGACUCGAGAGUGACGAGCUACGUGAGUUUGUUUCUACUCGGCAAGCGUUGCAACGAGACGAACGACAAAAGGAACGAGACAGUGAGGAGAGGAAAGGAGGAAAAGCAAAGAACAUGCCCUUGCCAUGUCCGAAUUAAAGCCGAAGCUGUCACUGCAAGAACAAGGAACAAACCCGAGAUCCAGUGAUCUUGCCUGGGACUGUUCCCUGACCUUCUCUACCAGUCUAUCAAGGAGAUGAUUUGACAAUCUUACUUCACACGUUUUGAACGCAUUGCUGCCCUGCUCAACAUUCCUCAGGACAACUAUGCCAUUCGACUGGGUGGUCUUCUCUCUAGUAAGCUCGCAGAAAUCUACACUACCUUGGCUGAUGACGUAAUUUGUGACUACCCUAAACUUAAAUCCUCUCUCCUUAGAAGCUUCAGUCAGUCCGCUGAGCACUAUCGCCACAUGUUUCGUUCUGUCCGGAUCAAACCUGGUGAGACAUUCCAGCAGUUUGCCACUCAACUCGGUCGCUAUUUUGAUAACUGGACAGACUUGUGACGUGGGGGAAGAUUUUCAUAAACUCGGAUCUUUUGUAAUUAUGGACCAGUUUCUUGCCUCUAUUUCUCCAGAUGUAAGAACCUUGAAAGAAAACGACGUGCAGACCUUGGACAACGCUGUCGAACGUGCAGAUAUCUGGGCAGCUGCCCAUCGUGCUUACCUGAGACACACCCCCAGCUGGACAUAAGAAGCUGUCGCCUACUUCUCCAACUACUACCAACCAAGCUUCUCGCCGAUCUCCUCCACCGGCCAGGAAGUCUUCCACACCCGUCAGGUGUCACAAUUGUGGGGAGCCAGGACACAUUCGAGCUCAAUGUCCCCAAAAUCCAGCUUUGUUCAGGACUGGUAGCACUGCUCAACCAGACACACAUAGGUGGGUUUCUGCUUCAGUGAUCCUACUAAUCUCUAAUUUUCUUCUGACAUCAUCAAUGGAGCGAGAGUAUCUACCAUCAUACGUGACACUGGCUGUUCCUGUGUCAUUAUAUCUGAGGAAGCCUUACCUGAUGUAGACGUCUCCCAGUGUCCUAAAGUUCUUGUUUCUGACUAAUUAGGUAGAGUGGACUCCUUCCCUCAGAUACGAUGCUACCUUCGCUGUCCCUUCUACGAAGGUUAUGUUGAUUGUGUUCGUGCUCCACAACUGAUGGGUGAGCUCCAUAAGCUUCUGGGAGUAAAACCGCUCUUCACCACGCCUUAUUAUCCAAGUGGUAACGGAAGAGUGGAAAGGUUCCACUCCACUUUGAAGGCAUGCCUCCGGAAACUGUGCUCUGAAAACCGCGUGAGUGGCACCGUUAUCUCCCUGCCACCUUGUUCGCUUUGAGGGAGAUGCCAAGUGACAGGAUCGGAUUCUCGUCUUUUGAACUUCUUUACGGUAAGGCAGUUAGAGGACCUCUUGCAGUUCUACGGGGUUUGUGGGAGGAUAAAUCACUCACAGACGAUCGUUCCUGUUUUCAAUGUAAUAAAGAGCUGAAAGACGAAUUGGCUGAAUCCUCCUGGAUUGCUGCCGAGACUGCUGACAUCAGUGCUACUCGGUAUAAAGCAUAUUUUGACUUGAAGUCGCAGGAUCGAAAGUUCAAGUCUGGAGAUGAAGUCCUGGUGCUCCUGCCUGACACUACCAACAAGCUCCUGAUGGCCUGGGCUGACCCAUAUACCGUACUUGAAAAGCGAACCAGCUGUAACUACCUGAUUGAUGAAAACGGUAAGCAUAAGUUAUACCAUGCUGAUCUUCUCAAGCGUUACUUUCGUCGUGCUCUUGUUAAUCAAGUAACUGUUGGAUGAACCUUCUUCCUUUGAUACAGAGGCUGAUACCAAAUUGAGCUUCUCACCGCUUGAGGAAGGGAUUACAGAACCUCCAGGUCUCCUUCCAGUAUCGCCUGACGGCCGCGAAGAUGUACAAGCGUGUAAAGUGCAAAUUGUAUCUGAUCCCUAUACAACUAAAGUCUUAUUUUGAAGAGGUUGACCAAUUUCUCCAGCAGGAAAUCAUCCGGUCAUCUUCAUCUCCUUAUUCCCCAGUUAUGUUACAGGUUGUGCCACUUACAUCAGAUUGAGGAUCGUCUUAGCCGGACUAACUGGAGUAUCGUUCUACUUUGAUAAUAUUUCCAUCUAUGGAACAACCUGUACCGAACACAUCACUGCCCUCAAGUCCGUACUUUCGUGUCUUCGAGAACACGGCCUCACUGUUCGAUAUUGAAGUGUGGAUUCGGGUUCGGAUCCAUCCAGUAUCUGGGCUUCAUUGUGGACGGUAAGACGCUUCGUCCUCAAAAUGAUAGUCACUGCCAUUUCUUCCUGCAGUCCCCCAAGUACCAAAAAGCUACUUUGAUCCUUCUUGGGUAUGGUAUCUUUUUAUUGAGACUUUAUCCCCCAGGCUUCUUCCUACAGAAGUUGUCUGUCUGACCUUCUCCGCAAGGGUGUCACCGAACCACUAGUCUGGACUGACGAACAUCAGAGGAGCUUUCAACAUCUUAAAGCAGUUCUCCAGUCUGCGCCGAUCUUAAGGCUACCAGAUUCCACUCAUCCUUUCGUGCUACGAACGGACGCUUCCUAGCACGGGCUAGGAGCAGUCCUGCUUCAGUAUGUGGACGGCUGGCCUCACCGUUACGUACGCCAGUCUAAAACUUCGGGAUCGAGAGAGAAGAUUCUCCACCAUUGGAAAGGAGUGCCUUGCCGUCUGUUUUGGUAUCAAGAACUUUGAUUAUUACCUUAGAGGGAUAGAGUUUAUUUUAGAAGUGGAUCAUAAACCAGAUUUAAAGGUGCAAAUAAUAGGUUGCUAAGAUGGGCACUAAAGCUACAAGAUUAUAUAUUUUUCGUGUAGUAUACAUUCCUGGAGAAGAUAAUGUUGGGGCUGAUUUUCUCAAUAGGUGUUCAGUGUAGUGCUUUAGUUUGUUGUCUUCUAUUCUUUCUAAAUAUGUGUAUCAAGGCUUGUUGGGGGAGGUAUGUAAAGACAACUAGGGGUUAAACUAUCAGCUUGUUACUUUAAACGAUAGUAACGAUGCCAGAAACUAUCGGGGUACAUUGGAACUAUCUUCUUGCUUAUUGGUCAUUUUGUUAUGCUGUCUCUUUGCUUCACAUUUCGGAUCUUCGAGGUACCGUCUCCUGCGCUGAAUUCCGGCUUCCGACCUGACGCCUGGGCGACGAGACUGAGGAGGCAGAUUCUCCUGAGUUCUAGCUGAGUCAACACUACCUAGACUCGCCUCUGCCUCCAGAAGUAGUACCGUCUCCUGGGAUGAAUUCCGGCUUCCGACCUGACGCCUGGGAGACGAGACCGAGGGAAGGCAGAUUCUCCUGAGCUUUGGCUGAGUCAACACUACCUAGAUUCGCCUCUGACUCCAGAAGUGUUCUCCCGUGAAGCCCUGCUCACCGCUUGCUUUGGGGGACCUGAGCCAGUCUCCUGGCAGCUGUGUCUAGGCAGCCUCCCGUGAAGCCCUGCUCACCGCUCGCUUUGGGGGACGUGGACCAGUCUCCUGGCUACCGUGUCUAGCCAGCCUGAGUCCAGACCAGCCUUUGGAUGAACCACCAAUACCACUCGGGCUUGCUGGUGGUUCUGCAUCCACCUCCUGUUUCAAUCCUGGUCACCGCUGGUCACCGCUGGAUACCGCUCUGCCUGCUCUCCACCCCUACACCCUGCUCCAUUCCUCGCCUUCUCAUUGGGGUCCUGUACCCGUGUGCUGCCCGGGACGGCUGUGUUUGAAGUGGAUGGGCGUGGUACCAGCGCUAGAGCAACUACCUCUCUAAGGGGGGAUGUAAGUCCAUAUAGUUCGUGUGUGUUGGAGAAGGAGUGUUCUUCUUUCAUUAAAGUGGUACUUUGUUAUUGUCUGUUUUCUACAGUCUCGUCAGGUUGUCAUUCAAUGCAAAAAAUCUUCAGCAAUGGUAGGUUAUUCCAGCACACCAAAACUUAAUAAAUUGUAUGUACUGUA